AAUAUUUUGAAUUUUGUAAGGUCAAUUAUUUUAAAUCGUUUGAAAAUUAAGAAGCUUGGAAAUUAAUUGUUAUCGGGAGGGUCAAAAUUGGGUGUCAACAAUUGUCCCUCGUUUUACUUGGAGUGAUGAAAGAAAUCCGAGGAAAAUAAAUUUGACGAAUCCAAUUUUGACCGACCACGUAUUUGCCAUUUCUGGAAAAGGGAUUUUGGUACAGACUUUAGGAAUUAUGACCGAACCCCGGAAAUGGGCCUCCUUUAAUCAUCACUUUACUUUUAACCUAAUAUUAAUUUAUUUAGAUUUUCUGUAGUAGAAUUAUUUUUCCACGUGGAAAAAUAUUUCAAUAAAACAAGAGUGUACAUACAUCAUCAGAAAUUAGUCGAAGUGUGUUUCACUAACUAAUUCAAGUGAGAAACUUACAUUCUCAAUUAUUCAAGUAUGAAACUCAAAAUUUCAAUAGUUGAGAUGUAUUUUUUACCUUUAUACUAAAAAAAUUUAUUAACUUUUAAAAUUUUUAUUUUUGUCACAUAAAUUGUGACAAAGGAAGGAAUGUAUUAUUUCAAAAUUAUGUAAAAAAAUUAUAAAGUAAAAUAAUUACCUGCUAGAAUAUUUAAAGAAGUCAUAUACAAAAGUUUGAAUAACUAUCCAAAUUUCAUCAGUACCACAAAUUGACACCAAAAAACAUAUAUUAGACUUGUGUUGUUAUGAACUCAAAUAUAUAUAUAUAUAUCGGCUAAUUAUUUUAUAUUUCAAGGCACUAUAUCAAGUCGUAGUAAAAAGUUACUUCUUCCAUUUUUAUUUAAUUGUUUUCAUUUAAGUUUUGACGCUUUCUAAAAUAAGUUUAAAGUCAUUAUUGUAUUAAUUCGUAUUUAAUAUUUUAUUAAAGUCAAGUUUUUAAUAAAUAAUCAUAAAAUAAUUUAUUUUAAUUAAUUAAUUUGAUUAAUGAACAUGAAUUAUUACAUAUUUUUUUAUAUUGGUUAAAUUAAUUCUUUCAAAACUAAUAACUCGUAAAGAUAAAAUAAAAAAAUAUAAUAUUAUUUAUGUAUUAUUUUUUUUAAAAUAGUAAAUAUUAAGUAAUAUUUAUUUUUAAUAAGGAUGACACGUAAAUAGUAACCGACGGAUAACUGCUAUUAUUGUAAUAUUAUGAUACUAUAAGAACUUUAUACAGGGCUGCAAAAAAAAUAAAAGCAAAUAAUGAAAGACCAAUGUCUCUUUCACCAAUCCCUAAAACUAAAGUUUCUCUAUAUAAAAUUUAAAAAAAAUCUUUUUUUUGCGUGUCAAUGAUUGCCCUAUACAGUUGCCUUUCUUUUUUUCCCUAAAAAAUUUAGUAAGUGUGGAAAUUCCUCUUUAUAUAUCAUGUAUUGCCUUGCCUUUCCUAGAUCACCAUAAAAAUUUUAUUAAGAAAAUGUAUGCAUAUCUGAAAAAAUAUAUAAUCUUUAUUUAAGGAAAAAUUUGUGAAAAAUAUCCAUCUACUAUAUCAAAUAUCUUAAUUCGCACAGUCACGUUUGAUUAUAUUUUUGGGGCCAUUCAUACACUCGUGUUAGAAAAUCGUUUCAUGUUUUUCCUUAACCCUAAUGGAUCUGCAACAAAAAAGUAUAACGAAGGACAAUUUUGACCCUUAUGUCAAAAAUAGAGAGGUAAAUUUGAUUAUUUUGCCAAAUUAUUUUAUGAAACAAUUUUGGUGUUGGGAAUAACUUGAGUGGACCUCAACUAAUUAUUCAACCGGUUAUCUCUACUACCUCCCAUAAGCACAUGUAUCGAGUAAUUCAAUCCACAAGGAUUUUGAAGCUAUGAAAAAAUCACGUUGCAGUUUGAACUUAAACCUUACCACUAAGUUACACUCUUGAACGUUAUUUAUAUCGGCAUGAACUAGGGUUUAGGAUUUGAUAGCGCGCCUUCAAGAACCUAAUUGAAAUUGAACACAUCUCGUAGAGUUCUACCAAAUUUUAAUAUCUACAUAUGUAUUUCUAAUUGUGUUUAAUUUGCAGGAGAUGCAUGGCUACAAGGAGGAGGCCACCACCAAGGCCACCCAUAAAAACUAAACCACCACAAAACAAUAAUUUCAAAGACAAGAAAGAGAAUGUGAUGAUAGAGGAGAAGAGUAACAUAAAGCUCCAACAAGAUAAUUCCAUGGUCAAAGCAAAUUGAUCUCUCGUAUUAAUAAGUUAAUUAUUUGUACUUGGUCUAAAGUUGGUUAAAGUACAAAAUGCUUUUGUUAUUAGGGAAACUAGUAUUAAUUAGAAGAAGUGCUUCAUUAGUUUCCUACCAACAUAUGAAAAGUACUUCGCAAUUAUGGUGAAAUUCACAAAUAGGCACUUUUCAGCUCCCUCUUUUGAAAUUUAUGACAAUGGCCACUAUAGGGGACGACUCCCACUAUAGUAGACUAUCUGAACUUCAGAGACUCAAAAAUCUCCGAAAAUCCAAUUCUUUAAAACAUACGGCUUUUCCUUGACGUCCCAAACUAUUUCCUUCACGCUAAAUUCAAUUUCGAGAGUUUUACUUACUCAUAAUUGAUUUUGUGAAGCUCUACAGGUUAAUUAAUGUCUUGGCUACAAGAAAAUAUCAAUCAAAUUACCUAGACCCUACACCCCACCCAUUCCUGGAUGGCCCUAGACCGCAUCUAGCCUAGACUCCGUCUAUUACUGGUCUAGCCUAAAAAAUUUAAGUCACUAUCCGAAAUGUUUUCUGGCCCGAAUUCUUUCACCAUUGGCCUUGUCAUAAAAAUCGAAAUGAGUCGUUGCAAUAGAUAUCAAUUUACUCAUCGCUCAUCUCGAACAAGAAAAAUUCGGCAAGAAAUAGAAAAAAGGGUAGUACUUGAAUCCUUGAACAAGUGAGGAUACUUGUCUUACAUGUCCGUUUCGUUCUCCAAGUAGCCUCCUCAAUCGGACAAUGUUUUCGCUGAACCUUUACCGAUUUGAUCUCCUUCAUCCUUUAACUUCCGUCGUUUUUCUGGAAAAAAAAUUGCAGAAAAAAAGACAUCGGUUGUCAUUUUUCUAUCUUUCUUUCUUUCUUUUUUUUAAAAAGGCAACGUUAUUUGUUGCUUAAGAAGAAAAUAUAUUUUUUUUUACAAAAAGAAAGAAACGACUCAAUAUGUUGCUUUUUGAAAAGUGAAGAAAGUGACUACAUCACUUUUCCAUUAUUAAUAGCUAAAAGAGACACAUCGCCCGUCAUUUUAGGCCAUCAUUUUUUAGUAGGUGAUUAUCUAUCGAGUUUUGAGCUAUAAAUUGCUUUUCUCGGAGAAUUUCUUGAUUAUCAUGAAAGAAGCAAAAAAUCUUAUUUUCUCUCCCAUUUGUUCAAAUUUAUGAGUAACUAUCCAUUUUAUUGGGCGCUCGUGCAUCCAUAUUUAAGCAAAGCCUAUAUGUAACAUUAAAAGGAAGUUUGGAGGGCCUAAUUAAUUAUAAAGAAUAAAAAAAAAAUCCUCAUAUUAUCGAUGGUUAAUUGAAUAAUGAAUUCCUAUGUGAUUUAUAAGUUAUUACAUUGAAUAGGGGUUUUACCUAUGAACACUCAAAGGAUAACGACUCCGAUUUCUCCUAUCAACAACAACAACAACAACAAAAUCAAUAAUGAAUUCAAGAACUCAAUAGAAUUUAAUACAUAUCAACAUACUGCUCUGUCAUUUCUCAUAUGAGAACAUACUAAUUACUCAACUGCAUAAAUUUAAAAUAUGUUGGCCUAGGCUUUAAUUUGAGACCUCAUAGGAAAUGCUCUCUUCUUUAUCCUCUGAUCAUGUAAACACUUGAUAGCCAAAAACCUAACUUCAAGUCCUCAAAAUAUUUAAUCUUUCAUCAAAAAGCUCCAAGAAAGUAAUAAACCAGAUAUUUGUGGAAAUAGUUGCAUGGGACCAAUAUUAUUAGAGAAAAAGAGAGAGGCAAUCAAUUAAUAGAUAAAGAAAAUCGUGAAACAUGCUUAUCCACUAGUAUGCACAUAUAUAUAAAAAUAAACAAAGAAAAAGUAGUCAAAAAUGAAUAUACUUUUCACUACUAUAUUAUAUAUACUCUCUAGAAGCACACAUCCUUGGUUGGUGUCAUGUCUACUUUUAGUCGAGAGUAUAUUUGUAAAUUUUAUAUUUUUUCUAUUUUAAUUUUAUAUAUAUUUAAAAAUUACGUUAAAAUAUUAUAAAUUACAAUAAUUAAUAAUUUAAAAUAUUAUAAAAAAUAUAUAAAAAAUUUGAUUGACUCUCCAAAUUACGUCAACGUCACAUAAAUUGAGAUGUAUUGAAUCAGGUAUUGGCUAUUUGUAAUUUUGUAUAACAUGUCUACUCAAGACAAUAAUAGCCAUGUGAGUUAACAACUAUACAAUCUUACCUAUUUUCUAAGAUGAAAUAUCCGUCUACUAUAUGAAAUAUCUUAUUAGCAUAAUUAAUUACAUUCUAUAUAUUUUUUGGGACAUUCAUAGUCUUGUGCUAACGGAUCUGGAUAGCCUAAAGUAUAACGAAGGACAAUUUUAAACCUCAAGUCAAAAUAGAGAAUGAAUAUUUUUCCAAACUCUUUUUAUGGAACAAUUUUAGCGUCCGGGCUAGUUUGAGUGUACCUUAGCUAGCUAGUUAUUUCAGGGGCUAUCUGCUACCUUCCACCAACACAAGUAUCGGGUAACUCAGUCUAUCAAGGAUUUUGACAACUAUCAUUAAGAAAUCACCUUGGAAUUUGACCCUGAAAUAUUAUGAUUAUCAACCUAUUUAAUUGACCACUAAAUUACACCUUCUUCUUUUUUUGUAAGUACACGAUAUUUUGUAUAGUAGGGAAGUAAAUUUGGACAGUCACUCAUUUACAUUCAUGUGAUAUAUAUAUUGCUUCUUGAAUUUAUUGGUGUUUUUGUGUUUAAUUUGCAGGAGAUGCAUGGCUACAACAAGGAGGCCACCACCAAGGCCACCCAUAAAAACUAAACCACCACAAAACAAUAAUUUCAAAGACAAGAAAGAGACUGUGAUGAUAGAGGAGAAGAGUAACAUAAAGCUCCAAGAAGAUAAUUCCAUGGUCAAAGCAAAUUGAUCUUAUCUCUAGGAAUCUAUUUUGUUAAAGAUCAUAAUAAGUUGUUUGUACUUGGUCUAAAGUUGGUCAAAGUAUAAAUGCAUGCUUUUGUUAUUAGGGAAACUAGUAGCAGCAAAGUGCUUCAUUAGUUUAUUCCUACCAACAUAUGUAAAGUAGUACGUAUAUAUGUAUGAUAUUUUAUUUACAAGUAGACACUUUUCAGCUCCUCUUUUUGAAUAUAACCAAUUCUGUAAUCUAUGACAUUGGUUAUUUCUCACAAAUAGAAGCCGAAAAGUGAUAAGUGAACGCUGUUUCUAUCAUGCUUAUAUUGUCCUUUAGGUUUCUUUUUUCUUUUGGUUAUCCUACUAGGGAUCGUUUGGUUCAUUUACAAAUUAUGCAGGGAUUGUUUUAUAUACCCUACCC
rnacentral:lncRNA from 1 species